AAGACAAAAACUAAGACUUGCUACUCUAAUCCAGUCUAAGCCAUGGUUUUUUAUCGGCCAUUGUCCAUAGUGGAGUUUUUUUACUAUGAUACAAACCUAUAUAUUGGUAACAAAUACUCUUCUUAAGCAAGUAUGCCAUUUUCCUUGGAUGCUGUAGAAGUUUCUUCAUUACACUUUACAAGGCCGAGAGGAGAUUGGUUAUAGCUUGGCGAGGUUUACACAGAACCUCCAAGGGCUCAGCUUUGGGCAUGGAAAGUCCUGUUCCUUCUGUCAUGUUGAUCUCCUCGUUGCCAAUCCUGCCCCAUUCAAAGGCCUGAAUCAAAGCACCGAGUGCUAGUCCUAUCACUUGCCUUGCAAGAAGAGCUCCAGGACAAGCCCGCCGUCCAGCACCAAAUGGAAUUAGCUUAUACCCUUCACUCUCUUCACUUUCAAAUCUCUCUGGCAUGAAUGCAGUUGGCUCCGCCCACAGCCUAGGGUCUCUGUGAAUGGUCCAUAGAUUGACUAGCAACAUUGUGCCUCGUGGCACAUCAAAACCAUAGACAGUACAGUCAUUAGAAGAUUCAUGUGGCAAUAGAAAGGGAAGUGCUGGAUACAGUCGAAAUGUCUCAUUGAUUACAUUUUGGAGGUAAUUCAGCUUUGAUAGGUCUGCUUCAUCCAGUAGACGAUCUAAUCCAACGUGGGUGUCUAUCUCAGCCACGGCCUUUUUCGCUGUUUGUGGAUGGUUGAGGAGGAGUGACAUCGCCCAUUCCAUGGUAGUUGCUGAAGUUUCUGUUCCAGCAACCAGCAUAGUCAGCAUAAAAGCUUUGAUAUCCACGUCACUAUAGAGUUCUGGUUGUUUCUUCUGCAGUGAUAUCAGGACAUCAAUCAAUGACAUCUUCCUGUCACCAGAUGAACCCAAGGACGAUUCACUUCUCAUUUUCCUGUGCUCAUCAACCAGGUACUGCAAAAAGGUAUCCAUUUUCUUCAUCAAUCUUUUCAUUCUCCUCUCCACGCCUUGAAAAUCCACCCAUUGUAGUACUGGCAACAGAUCAUUCAAAUUCAUGGUACCAUGGAUUUCUCCAAAUUCUCUCAUAAU
rnacentral:misc_RNA from 1 species